rnacentral:rRNA from 1 species
GACGAACGCUGGCGGCGUGCUUAACACAUGCAAGUCACGGGGGCUCGCAAGGGCAACCGGCGAACGGGUGCGUAACACGUGAGCAACUUACCGAUUUGUGGGGGAUAGCCGGCCCAACGGCCGGGUAAUACCGCAUACGCUCUUUGGGUGGAGUCACCUGAAGAGGAAACCUCCGGGGCAAAUCGAGGGGCUCGCGGCCUAUCAGCUAGUUGGUGCGGGUAACGGCCCACCAAGGCGAUGACGGGUAGCNGGUCUGAGAGGAUGGCCAGCCACAUUGGGACUGAGACACGGCCCAGACUCCUACGGGAGGCAGCAGUGGGGAAUCUUGCGCAAUGGGCGGAAGCCUGACGCAGCGACGCCGCGUGAGGGAUGACGGCCU